AACCAACAGAGGCAUACAAAUGAGACCGGGGCUGACACAGAGCCAGGUAAUACCAGUGUGGCCAGUCUAGCUGCUUAUGUCCAGUAUCCAUUCUAAUUGGUUAGUGCCCGUGCCAUACGAGUGGUUAAAUAUUUUGAUCAUCACCCCUGUAAUAAGAAAGGACUUCCUAGCAAUAAAGAUGUUGUAACAUCUUGGGUUACUAGGGGAGGUUCUAAAGUCUCCAUUUCGAGACAUCCAUUAUACGAUGGCAUCAUCUGCCUGGAGGCUGGGGGACAGCCCCUAAUCUGUAAUACCAGUCUCUGAAUAUCUUUCGGAUCACUGAUGAGCUCCUCCCACUUUCCCAGUGCAUCUCCACCCUGCUGAUGCUGGUCACCAGCGACAUGUACACACUCAUCAACUACGUGGGCUUCAUCAACUACCUCUUCUAUGGGGUCACGGUUGCCGGACAGAUAGUCCUUCGCUGGAAGAAGCCUGAUAUCCCCCGCCCCAUCAAGAUCAACCUGCUGUUCCCCAUCAUCUACUUGCUGUUCUGGGCCUUCCUGCUGGUCUUCAGCCUGUGGUCAGAGCCGGUGGUGUGUGGCAUUGGCCUGGCCAUCAUGCUGACAGGAGUGCCUGUCUAUUUCCUGGGUGUUUACUGGCAACACAAGCCCAAGUGUUUCAGUGACUUCAUUGAGCUGCUAACCCUGGUGAGCCAGAAGAUGUGUGUGGUCGUGUACCCCGAGGUGGAGCGGGGCUCAGGGACAGAGGAGGCUAACGAGGACAUGGAGGAGCAGCAGCAGCCCAUGUACCAACCCACUCCCACCAAGGACAAGGACGUGGCGGGGCAGCCCCAGCCCUGAGGACCACCAUUCCCUGGCUACUCUCUCCUUCCUCCCCCUUUUAUCCUACCUCCCUGCCUUGGUCCCGCCAACACAUGCGAGUACACACACACCCCUCUCUCUGCUUUUGUCAGGCAGUGGUAGGACUUUGGUGUGGGUGGUGAGAAAUUGUAAACAAAAACUGACAUUCAUACCCAAAGAACCAGCCUCUCACCCCAGGGUCCAUGUCCCAGGCCCCACUCCAGUGCUGCCCACACUCCCAGCUGCCGGAGGAGAGGGUGCCCUGCAGCACCUCCCUCCGGGCCACACCCUCAGCUGCCUCUUCAGGAACUGGAGCUCAUUACUGCCUUCCCUCCCAGGGAGGCCCCUUCAGAGAGGAGAGGCCACAGGGGCUGCAUUGUGGGGGGACAGGCUCAAGCAAUUCUGUCCCCAUCAAGGGGUCAGCUGGAGAGACCCAAGAUCCCAUCUGUUCACCAGGGACCCAAAAUCCAAGGGGAUGCUUCCCUCUGCCCUCUUUCCUGCCCCUCCCCAUCAUACCUGCACCCACCCCAGCCAGGGCUUCCUGUCCAGAAUUCGGUUCUCCUCAGGACGCCAACUCCCAGAGCUAAGGACCAAGGAGAAGAACAGCCUCUCCACCCCCAAGCCAGGUGGUUGAGGAACAUAUUGAGAAAGGCUCAGAUUGCAGAAACCCAGCCCUGCCCCUGCCUCCUGCAUCCAGCCCCCAACAUGGUGCCAAAGCUUCCAGAAGCCAAAAAGCUUCUGAUUUUUAAGGUAGUGGCAUCUCUCUCCUAAUGACGAAGCUGCUCAGCAACUCCACCUGCCCGCCACAGGAAGGAGCAGUCCCCUGCUAUCCCUGCAGCCACUCCCAGCACACCCGCACACAGCCAGCACCACCGCCCCCACCGUGCACUUCUCCUCUCUGGGCCUUGGCUUGGGACCAGGUAUGAAGGAUCCCCAAGCCCUUCAGGCCUGAGAUCAGAGCCAGAUCAGCCUUAAGUCACCUCCCAUCCAAGAACUUGGCCUAAAAAUACUCCCCUAUUUCUAACCCUCAGGACGGAUCUGAUAUUAAAUGCCUUCCCUGGGAGGAAGGGCGCUUUCCCCCUCCCUAGAGGUGCCCAUUCCAUACCCUGGAAGACUGAGGAGAGCAUUAGCUGAAGCCCAGUUCCUUUCCCAUCCGUCCCCAACUCCAAUAGUCCCCCACUCCUCGCAGGUCUCAGUGUCUUGCUGUCUUGGGGCAGGGUGAAAGGGCAGUGGCAGCAGGGCGCCCACUCUGGAGAUCCUCAAAAAAGGCCCUCCUCUGUGGCUGGCAGCCUCUGACCUUUCCCUGGGCUUCAAAGGAAGGCUAUGGAGUUUGCUGUGGGCCCUGCAACCUUCCCAGCCACUCCUGCUGCACUAAGGACUUAGGAUCCUUUUAUCACAAAUCGGGAUUCUCUCCCCCACCCCGAAUUCUGUCUGCUUAAACUGGAAUACACAGGAGCCCUUCCUGGCCUGGAUGGUGUCUCCCAGCUUCCCCGCCCAGCUUGCCCACCCCAUAGUUGGUGAGAUGCCAAGUUUGGUCUGAGUUGUGACCCCUUCAGAGUAGAUGCCCGGCAGGCUGGGGUUGGCCCCUGGAGGGUCAGGGGACCAUCUUCUUAUUCCCUCUUUUCUCAUUCCUCCAACUUCCUCCCCUCCUUCAAUUAUUUUUUUGUAAAGUUGAUGCCUUACUUUUUGGAUAAAUAUUUUUGAAGCUGGUAUUUCUAUUUCUUUUGGAUUUUUUUUAAUGUAAGGUUGUUUUGGGGGGUGGAGUUAGAACCUUAAUGAUAAUUUCUUUCGUUUGGUGUAGGUUUUAGAGAUUUGUGGAGAGGUUUUUUUCUUUUGAUGUAAUAAAAUUUAAAAUGGAAAUG
rnacentral:sRNA from 1 species